UUCGGGACGCCGGCGAGUGGCGAACGGGUGAGUAACACGUGGAGACCUGCCCUGGGGUGGGGGAUAACAACUGGAAACGGUUGCUAAUACCGCAUACGCCUUACGAGGGAAAGAUUUAUUGCCCCAGGAGGGUUCCGCGUCGGAUUAGCUUGUUGGUGGGGUAACGGCCUACCAAGGCGACGAUCCGUAGCUGGUCUUAGAGGAUGAUCAGCCACACUGGGACUGAGACACGGCCCAGACUCCUACGGGAGGCAGCAGUGGGGAAUAUUGCGCAAUGGGGGAAACCCUGACGCAGCGAUGCCGCGUGGGUGAAUAAGGCCUUAGGGUUGUAAAGCCCUUUCAGUGGGAAAGAUGAUGACGGUACCCACAGAAGAAGCCCCGGCUAACUCCGUGCCAGCAGCCGCGGUAAUACGGAGGGGGCGAGCGUUGUUCGGAAUUAUUGGGCGUAAAGAGCGCGUAGGCGGCUUUUUAAG
rnacentral:rRNA from 1 species